GUGCCUAAUACAUGCAAGUCGAACGAGUUCUGAUUAUUGAAAGGUGCUUGCAUCUUGAUUUUAAUUUUGAACGAGUGGCGGACGGGUGAGUAACACGUGGGUAACCUGCCCUUAAGUGGGGGAUAACAUUUGGAAACAGAUGCUAAUACCGCAUAAAUCCAAGAACCGCAUGGUUCUUGGCUGAAAGAUGGCGUAAGCUAUCGCUUUUGGAUGGACCCGCGGCGUAUUAGCUAGUUGGUGAGGUAACGGCUCACCAAGGCAAUGAUACGUAGCCGAACUGAGAGGUUGAUCGGCCACAUUGGGACUGAGACACGGCCCAAACUCCCUACGGGAGGCAGCAGUAGGGAAUCUUCCACAAUGGACGCAAGUCUGAUGGAGCAACGCCGCGUGAGUGAAGAAGGCUUUCGGGUCGUAAAACUCUGUUGUUGGAGAAGAAUGGUCGGCAGAGUAACUGUUGUCGGCGUGACGGUAUCCAACCAGAAAGCCACGGCUAACUACGUGCCAGCAGCCGCGGUAAUACGUAGGUGGCAAGCGUUAUCCGGAUUUAUUGGGCGUAAAGCGAGCGCAGGCGGUUUUUUAAGUCUGAUGUGAAAGCCCCCGGCUUAACCGAGGAAGU
rnacentral:rRNA from 1 species